AAGGGAGGAAACUUUGACCGAGCAAAGCCGCGUGAAUGACGAAGUACUUCGGUAUGUAAAGUUCUUUUAUCAAGGAAGAAAAGCAAAUGGCGAACCAUUUGUUUGCCGGUACUUGAUGAAUAAGCCCCGGCUAAUUAUGUGCCAGCAGCCGCGGUAAGACAUAAGGGGCAAGUGUUAUCCGGAAUUAUUGGGCGUAAAGGGUGCGUAGGCGGUCUAGUAAGUCAGUGGUGUAAUGGCAACGCUUAACGUUGUCCGGCUAUUGAAACUGCUAAACUUGAGUUAGAUAGAGGCGAGUGGAAUUCCAUGUGUAGCGGUAAAAUGCGUAAAUAUAUGGAGGAACACCAGAGGCGUAGGCGGCUCGCUGGGUCUUAACUGACGCUGAGGCACAAAGCGUGGGGAGCAAACAGGAUUAGAUACCCUGGUAGUCCACGCCGUAAACGAUGAGUACUAAGUGUCGGGUUAAACCGGUACUGAAGUUAACACAUUAAGUACUCCGCCUGAGUAGUACGUACGCAAGUAUGAAACUUAAAGGAAUUGACGGGACUCCGCACAAGCGGUGGAUCAUGUUGUUUAAUUCGAAGAUACCCGAAAAACCUUACCAGGUCUUGACAUGUUUUUGCAAAAUGAUAGUAAUAUCGUGGAGGUUACCAGAAACACAGGUGGUGCAUGGUUGUCGUCAGCUCGUGUCGUGAGAUGUUAGGUUAAGUCCUAAAACGAGCGAAACCCUUAUCGUUAGUUGCCAGCACGUUAUGGUGGGGACUUUAACGAGACUGCCAAUGAUAAAUUGGAGGAAGGUGAGGAUCACGUCAAAUCAGCAUGCCCCUUAUGACCUGGGCUACAAACGUGAUACAAUGGCUGUUACAAAGGGUAGCUGAAACGCAAGUUCUUGGCCAAUCCCCAAAAACAGUCCCAGUCCGGAUUGAAGUCUGCAACUCGACUUCAUGAAGUUGGAAUCGGCUAGUAAUCGCGAAUCAGCGC
rnacentral:rRNA from 1 species